rnacentral:rRNA from 1 species
GGCUCAGAUUGAACGCUGGCGGCAUGCUUUACACAUGCAAGUCGAACGGUAACAGGUUAAGCUGACGAGUGGCGAACGGGUGAGUAAUGCAUCGGAACGUGCCCGGUCGUGGGGGAUAACGCAGCGAAAGCUGCGCUAAUACCGCAUACGAUCUGAGGAUGAAAGCGGGGGACCGUAAGGCCUCGCGCGAUCGGAGCGGCCGAUGUCAGAUUAGGUAGUUGGUGGGGUAAAGGCUCACCAAGCCGACGAUCUGUAGCUGGUCUGAGAGGACGACCAGCCACACUGGGACUGAGACACGGCCCAGACUCCUACGGGAGGCAGCAGUGGGGAAUUUUGGACAAUGGGCGCAAGCCUGAUCCAGCCAUGCCGCGUGCAGGAAGAAGCAUCUAUGGUGUGUAAACUGCUUUUGUACAGGAAGAAACACUCCCUCGUGAGGGAGCUUGACGGUACUGUAAGAAUAAGGAUCGGCUAACUCCGUG